rnacentral:rRNA from 1 species
AUGGCGGACGGGUGAGUAACGCGUAAAGAACUUGCCCUUUAGACUGGGAUAACAGAGGGAAACUUCUGAUAAUACUGGAUAAGUUAGUAUAUCGCAUGAUAUGCAAAUGGAAGCUACGGCACUAAAGGAGAGCUUUGCGUCCUAUUAGCUAGUUGGUAAGGUAAGAGCUUACCAAGGCGAUGAUAGGUAGCCGGCCUGAGAGGGUGGACGGCCACAAGGGGACUGAGAUACGGCCCUUACUCCUACGGGAGCAGCAGGC